CAGUAGGAAUCUUCGGCAAUGGAACGAAAGUCUGACCAAGCAACGCCGCGUGAGUGAAGAAGGUUUUCGGAUCGUAAAACUCUGUUGGUAGAGAAGAACGUUGGUGAGAGUGGAAAGCUCAUCAAGUGACGGUAACUACCCAGAAAGGGACGGCUAACUACGUGCCAA
rnacentral:rRNA from 1 species